GGGCGAAAGGGAAUCCGGUCCCCAUUCCGGAACCCGGUCGCNGAACCGUUUCACGUCGGGCCCGCGCCGAAAGGCGCAUGCUCGUCGGGGUAACCCAACAUGACCCGGAGAAGCCGUCGGGAGGUCUGGGAAGAGUUUUCUUUUCUGUUUGAGCGUUCGGGUUCCCUGGAAUUGCCUAGCGCAGAGAGAGGGAAUGGAGCGCGUAGAGCACGCAGUUGCGGCGGUGUCCAGACAUGCCNUUCGGACCUUGAAAAUCCGGGGACGGG
rnacentral:rRNA from 1 species